AUCGACCGCCUGGGGAGUACGGCCGCAAGGUUAAAACUCAAAUGAAUUGACGGGGGCCCGCACAAGCGGUGGAGCAUGUGGUUUAAUUCGAUGCAACGCGAAGAACCUUACCUGGUCUUGACAUCCACAGAACUUUCCAGAGAUGGAUUGGUGCCUUCGGGAACUGUGAGACAGGUGCUGCAUGGCUGUCGUCAGCUCGUGUUGUGAAAUGUUGGGUUAAGUCCCGCAACGAGCGCAACCCUUAUC
rnacentral:rRNA from 1 species